UACAGAGGAUGCAAGCGUUAUCCGGAAUGAUUGGGCGUAAAGCGUCUGUAGGUGGCUUUUUAAGUCCGCCGUCAAAUCCCAGGGCUCAACUCUGGACAGGCGGUGGAAACUACCAAGCUUGAGUACGGUAGGGGCAAAGGGAAUUCCCGGUGUAGCGGUGAAAUGCGUAGAGAUCGGGAAGAACACCAAGGGCGAAAGCACUUUGCUGGGCCGAAACUGACACUGAGAGACGAAAGCUAGGGUAGCGAAUGGG
rnacentral:rRNA from 1 species